rnacentral:rRNA from 1 species
GAUGAACGCUGGCGGCGUGCCUAAUACAUGCAAGUCGAGCGAACAGACGAGGAGCUUGCUCCUCUGACGUUAGCGGCGGACGGGUGAGUAACACGUGGAUAACCUACCUAUAAGACUGGUAUAACUUCGGGAAACCGGAGCUAAUACCGGAUAAUAUAUUGAACCGCAUGGUUCAAUAGUGAAAGACGGUUUUGCUGUCACUUAUAGAUGGAUCCGCGCCGCAUUAGCUAGUUGGUAAGGUAACGGCUUACCAAGGCGACGAUGCGUAGCCGACCUGAGAGGGUGAUCGGCCACACUGGAACUGAGACACGGUCCAGACUCCUACGGGAGGCAGCAGUAGGGAAUCUUCCGCAAUGGGCGAAAGCCUGACGGAGCAACGCCGCGUGAGUGAUGAAGGUCUUCGGAUCGUAAAACUCUGUUAUUAGGGAAGAACAAAUGUGUAAGUAACUAUGCACGUCUUGACGGUACCUAAUCAGAAAGCCACGGCUAACUACGUG